ACUAUUGUUAUUAUGUGUUUUUAUCAGAUGUUUGGACUCUCAAUCUGACGGCACCCAUUCACUGCAGAAGAUCCACUGGUGAGCGAGUGAUGCAAUGCUACAUUUCUCCAAAUCUGUUUUGAUGAAGAAACAAAUUCAUCACAUCUUGGAUGGACUGAGGGUGUAGAGUUUUACCUGGCCUUGCCGUAUCGCGGCUGACGCUGGCAUUUUUUCCUGCGUGUUGCAAUGUGACAACAGGAGACAGGACCGUUUUGAGAAUGAUAAAUAGAAUGAUUUCUGAAGGAUCAUGUGACACUGAAGACUGGAGAGAUGACUGCUAAAUAUUCAGCUGUGCAACACAGUAAUGAAUUACAUUUUAAAUUAUAUAUGCAUAUACUUUUUUUAUUUUAUAAUAAUGUUUUACUAUUUUACUGUUUAUAACACUAUCAAUCAAUUAAAUGACCUUACUGAUCUCAAACACAGUAUUGUAAAUACAACAAAAUAACCACCACAUCCCACAAAAGCAACU